CGACAAUUCUGCCAACAGCUGAAUUCAACAGUGGGUCUGAACAAAGAAAAGUGCGUUAAUUAUGGCAGAUGUGUGGAGUUCCGGGACCCCGGUCCCGCGCCCCCGCCCCAGCCCGGCCCAGUGCCCGCCGCGAAAAGUCGCGACGACUUUGAGAACCACUUUCGCCCCGAGUGGCGGCCGCACUCGCGCGCCCCGAAACCUGGGCUCGGCAGAAACCGAAAGCUGGCGCCAGGGUCGCGCCACCCCCACCCCGGAGGCGGGUCCCGGGUCUCCGGGAGGAGGGAGGUGUCGGGGGGACCCCAGGGGUGUCCCGGCCCGCGCCCCCGCUCACUUUUUCGUGCAGUCCAGCAGGAUCCCCGCGAAGCUCCGCUCGCCGCAGCUCACCGUGACCACCAGCGCGCCGUUGACGACCUGCUCCACCCGCACGGGCAGCCGGCAGCCGGCGCGCGGCUCCAUGCUCCCGCCGCGUCCCAGGCCGCCCCGCCCCGCCGCCGCCGCCGCCGCCGCCGCCGCCGCCGCCGCCGCCGCCGCCGGGUCAGCCCCGCGCGUGACGCCGCCCGCGGCCGCCUGACGUCACAAAGCUCCGCUGGGCGGCCGCCACCGCCGUGCCGGGCCGGGGCGCGCGGCCGCGGCUCUGCUCCGGGCACCCCGCCCGCCGCCGCCGCGUACGGGGAGAAGCCGCGCCCGCCCGCAGAGCUCGGCGGGACGCGCGCUGCGGACCCCGGGGGUGGAGAGGGGCUGCGCCCGGGCUCGCGGCCCACGCUGGCCGGGAGUGUCCUCCGACUCGGGAGGACCCGAGAGCCACGAGCCCGGGGGCGGCGGGGGAACACCAGCCCUGGCCGGAGCCCCGGGACUCCAUCCCCAACUCCCCUGCCUGAGGCCGGUCCCGGGCCCCGUCUCCUCCGGACCCGGCCCUGCGCCCUCCCUCCCUCCCCGGUGUCCCGGAUCCCCCGCCUGGGUUCGGCUGCCCGCGUGCCCCGGCAGCGCCCCGCGCAGGGCUCUGGUGGCCCCGGGCACUGCGGCGAGGAAGUCUCGGGCGGCGCGCGCAGGAAGCCGGGGCGGGCGGAGGAGACGCGAGGCGCCCGGGGCAGCGGCCUAGUGUCGCCCUCGCCGCGUGGGGACGGGACACUGGGUCGCCCCACUGGGCUCGGCGCCUCUCGGGCGACAAGCGGGCGCGCGCCCGGCUCAGGGUCACCCUGCGCGCCUGGGGUCGCCGACACCGGGACCCGUGGGGUUAACUCCGUCGGGAGGUUCCCGGGCCCAAGGGCCAGGCGCGCCUCCGCCAGUUUACAAAGGAAACAGCCUCCUUCCUCCGCGGCAGGGGCUCCCCGACCCGCGGGCGAGGAGUGGGAGGUGACGGCGCCGGACCCCUCCCCCGGGACCCCCGCAGGGUCCCGGCUCCCGCGCCUUCAGGCGUCAAAGCCCCGAAUUCCCCGAGCACCAGCGCGUCCGCACCCGGCUCAGAACGCAGGGGCCCGGCCUGCUGCGGUGACCUUGGCCCCGGGCCGGGCUUCUGAGCCGGGCUUGCAGCACCGACGGGGCCUGGAGGCGGGGCGGGGAACCGCGGAGUUGUCCUGGCGACCCAGCGCCGCGCGGCACGGCUCCUCCCAGCCUGGGAAUGGAGGACCACCGCCCCUGGUGCCGCUGGGGUCCGUCGGGCCGCUGGCGCCGCUCGACCUCGCCCUCCGGCGGCCGCACGGCAGGGGAGCCUCAGAGAGGAGCCAGGGCGGCUGGAGUGAGGGAGCCCGCGGGGCCUGGGGCACCUGGCGGUCCCUGGCAGAACAGGGGUGGGGACCGAGGCCAGGGACAGUCCCAGAGGAGGCCUGGAAGCCCAGCGAGCGUGUGUCCUCUUCUGUGUGGCCUGGGGCUCCCGCCAACACUAAGCCCUUACUGGGGCCUCAGGCACCUCAAGGCGCCGUAGCCGCCAGGCCUGCAGAGGAGCUGCCCUGCUGUCCUGCCCACAGGCCUCUGCAGCUGCCCCCUCCAGGGGGUGGGGCUGACUUUGGAUUAAAAAUGCCAGGCAGCAGGGACCCCCUCGCCACCCUACUCGGGGUUGGGCUAAGCGGCCAUCCUGAGGCUGCCCACUUGCUUGGCUCUUCUUCCUGCCUGCCGGAGAGGCCUGCUGGGCACUGCCCUUUCUGA
rnacentral:lncRNA from 1 species